ACAAGAAUGUCUUAAUCGACAAUCCAACCACAGCCACAGUUUCUGAUCCUGUUAUUGAAUCAAGUGCCGAAAAUGAAGUCGAGCAAUCUGGUGCUCAACUGCCAGUCCUUGAGGAUAUCUCGAGGCUGUUUGAUGGUUCGGUGAGUUCUUCAUUGGGCACCAUGACCCAUGAGACCCCUUGUUGAGAAGCUUGGCAUACUGCUAGCUCCUGCUCAGGAACACUACAAGAGGUUGCCCAAGAGGAUCAAGGAGGGGGUGCACCUUCUCAAGGAUGAUGUUGAAGUGAUAAGCUCCUACCUUGAUGAACUGUCAGAGUUGGAGGACCCUCCCCCGGUGGCCAUAUGCUGGAUGAAUGAGGCACGCGAUUUGUCUUACGAUAUGGUAGAUUACAUUGACAGCUUAUUAUUUGUGCCGCCUGACCGUUUCAUCAAAAAGAAGAAGAAGAAGAA